GCGCUCACUUAAGCAGCACAUAUACUGAAACAAGAACAAUACAGAGAUUAGCAUGGCCCCUGCACAAGGAUAACAAGCAAAUUGGUGAAGAGUUCCAUAUUUUU
rnacentral:snRNA from 1 species